UGGGGCGGAGAAAGAGAGAGAGGGAGACACAGAGUCUGAAGCAGGCUCCAGGCUCUGAGCUGUCAGCAUAGAGCCUGAUGCAGGGCUAGAACCCAUGGACCACAAGAUCAUGACCUGAGCCGAGUGGGCCACUUAGGUGCCCACCCAGGUGCCUGUAGACUCAUUUAACCUUUUAAAGAAAGUUAUAAAUAGACAUGGUUUAAAAUGUCAUGUAUUUGUAUAAGGCUUGUAAUGAACAACAGCAGACCUCACUGCCUCCCCAUUUUCCCUUUCCAGACACAGACUUUGUUAGGUAGUACCAUUUUACAAGUGAGAAAAUAGAGGCUUAAAGAGGUUCAUGAACACCCAAGUUCAUACGGGUCGGAAGUGAUGUAGCUAUGGUAACUCAAAUCUGUUUGACCCCAGAACUUGAUAUCUGAGCUAUAUUGCUUCUCAAUUACAAGAUCACUUUCCUGAUGGGGGAGCAUAAGGCAAGCUGAGUGCAAAGUACGGGCUAACAGCACCCCCUCCCUCCAGGUGGGAUAUGUGUGAUAUUCCUAGGACACUCCUGGAUGCCCAAGAACAAAGGCAAAUGAAAAAUUAAAUUCCCUUACUGCCUACAGCCCAUUGACAAGUCCUUGAAACAGGCAGAGUGACCUUUCUCUAGGAGCACAGCUGCCUUGAUGAUGACAUUUCAAUAGGGGCAAAAGGGAAUCUUGGCUUAACAUUAUCCUGACCGCCCCCCUACCCCCCACCAGCAUCCUGUGUCUCCUUAAACACAUAAAAAUUCCUUUGCAAACCUCCUUUAUCUUUAACCCCCAAGUAUAUGUUGGCAAUUAUACUCCAAGCAUAUGGCCCCUGAUAUACAUCUGAAGGGGCUGAUGACUGAGGUUUUACUAAACAGUAAUAAAUGAUGUUUUUCUAAUAACAGCCCCUUAAGGUUCUGGAAAGCUUGUUUCCAAAAUUCCUUAGAGACUUAUGCUGUCCCUAACCCCCUCCCAACUUGAAAGUAUAUAAUUAGUCACUCUUCACAACCCAGUGCAGCUCUUUCUGCCCACAUGUCCUAUCCCCAUGCUUUAAUAAAGUCACCUUUUUGUAGCAAAGACAUCUUCAAGAAUUCUUUCUUGGCCGUUGGCUCUGAACCCUAUCAUUACCCCAAUCCCCAUCAUUCUUAUUUCUGCUGUAACAAUCACAAAUUUAGUGACUUAAAACAACACAAAUUGAUUAUCUGGCAGUCCUGGAGGAUAUAAGCAUGAAAUAGGUCAUAUGGGAAUAAUCAAGGUGUCAACAGGUCUGUGUUCCUUUUGGAGGCUCUAGAGGAGAAUCUUUCUUGCCUUUUCCAGCAUCUAGAGGCCACUUUGACUUCUUCCCUAGGUGCCCCCUGCAGCAACACUUCACCCAGACUUCUGGUCUGUUCUCACAUCUCCUUUGACUUGACCCACCUCCCUCCUCUGACAGGUACCUCUGCUUCAUUAUAGUGCAAAGUCUCCUCUGAGGGAGGAACACAAGCUUCAUUAACAUAACAUAGGAUGCCUGUAUGGACACAUUUUCUAAGUCUGCCUGCCUGUGCAAUUUUCUGCCUUCUUUUACAUUGACGAAAAACUCCUUUUUCUGAAUAUUCAUCCUAAACCCUAGUUAAAAAGAACCUGCUCACCCUUGCUGGCAAAGUCCUAGCUUUGGAAAUUACUCCCCACGACCUCCUGGUUUGCUGCAAAUAAAGCUUCCUUUGUGUGAGAGCUUCACCUGGUGUAGUCUGUACCUGUAACUCACAAGGGAGCAAAGUCAUGUUAGUGGAAGAGGACUUCAACCACCUCCAUUCUGACCUCAAACUUUCUGAUUAAGUUCUUUCCAGCGUAUCUCUUAAUUCAGGCAAAAGACCCUGAGGACAAAGCAUUCUGUGAUGGGAACCAGAACUACCCCCCCACCACAAUAUGGGCUGCCCUGAGCCAGCAAGGCCCCACGCGACUGCCCCCAAGACCAUGAUCCACCUGACCUUCACUGCCCACCUGCACAUACCCACCCACCUUUUCCUCAUACAAAUUUGGGUGUAUUUUCUCCACUCUGGAGGCCGUCUUUGAGAUGCUAGCCUGCUGUCUUCCUGUGUUGGCCUCACCGAAAUAAAUUCCUUUCUUGUUUCACCACCACUCCUCUCUCUGCCUUUGGAUUUUGUCAGCAGCCCUGUUUGGGACCCCUGGAGCCAGGCGCUCUUGCACCCCUGGGUUCCAGUUACAUCGGUUUGGUUACAGAAGUCUUCAGUGUCCUUAAUGUUCUGAUUUGGGUGGUAAGCAGCAGCAUGGAAGUCUCGGUGGUGUCUAAACGGGGUGGCUCUCCAUUGGAGAGGGCCCCCCUCCAAUGUGGGGCAAUGAUUGGGUGGAAGCCAGUGGCCUGGUAGGUGAAAUAAUUCACCUGAGGUAGAACAAAGGAGAUGGUAGUUUAUUGACUACAUCACCAGGGAGUGAUGGGCAGGACACGGAGGAGAGGUCUUCUGCCAAGAGGCAGUGGGUGUGGAAUACACUGCAGGGGAACAGCGGGCAGGACAGCAGGAGAGGCAGUCUGCCUAGAGGAAGUGGGUGUGGACUAUACCGCAGGGGAGCGGUUGGUGGGACCUCAGAGGAAAGCUGUCCUCAGUAAGGCAGUGGGUAGGGCUCUUUUAAAGGGGAAGAUGAGGAGGUAUGGCGAUAUGGAAUUCUCCCUGUUUUGGUUACUGUGCCUAGUUGUAAGUAGCCCAUUGGUCAUUUAGGGCCUAUGGAUAUUUAGAGGUGGGUCGCCUGAUUGGCCUGUUUGUAUUCUCCCAGGUGGUCGCUGUAGGCCCUUUCUGCAUUCCAUCGCUCUAGCCUGUUGGCCUAAAAGCAGCCUCUAUGGCUGUUUGCCCUUAAUUUGGAGGCAUGACUUUUGACAUGUAGUCAGUGAGAGAGUUUCGUGGUCUCCCUCUGGUGUCCAUAGAAAACCACAUUUUCUGCUAUUCAUUAUUGAUGGAUUGUGCAUAUGUGAUUUCUAAGACAGUAAGUUUCUACAGUCUGUUCCUGGCAGACUUUCGCCUGAAACUGCCCUUUUGCCACCUUGUUCCCUCAGGAAGACUUCUUCAUUUUCAUCAGCUUCCAGUGAGUUGUGGUGACCUCAUAGGGUUGGGCUGAGGAGUGUGCUGUGGGAUGGGGAAGAUAAGGUGGGAGAGGUAGUCACAGGCCUUCUGUGGGUGGACUUUGGGGGCAGAAAGAUCUCCUUGUCUAUAGCAUUCUCAGUAAGUGAGGGAUGAGGUGAAAGAAGGUUGGGUUUUUAUGUCAAAAUGAGGGACACUGUCACGUCAGGACUCUAGAUUAACCAUCAAAAUUCUAGUCGGAAAGAGUUAAGAAAUUUAACAAUUUUUUUUCUUUUCUCUUCUUUAUUUAUUUUGUUUACUAUCAUUGUAUUUUAUUAAAAAUUUUUAAAUGUUUAUUUGUUUUUGAGAGAGAGAGAGAGCACGAGUGGGGGAGGAGCAGAGAGAAGGAGACACAGAAUCUGAAGCAGGCUCCAGGCUCCGAGCUGUCAGCACAGAGCCCGACGUGGGGCUAGAACUCACAGACCUCGAAAUCAUGACCUGAGCUGAAGUUGGAUGCUCAACAGACUGAGCCACCCAGAAUUCAAUCAUCACAAUCCUGGACUUCAAGCUGUCUUACAAAGCUGUAAUCAUCAAGGCAGUAUGGUACUGGCACAAGAACAGACACUCAGAUCAAUGGAACAGAACAGAGAACCCAGAAAUGGACCCACAAAUAUGUGGCCAACUCAUCUUUGACAAAGCAGGAAAGAAUAUCCAAUGGAAUAAAGACAGUCUCUUCAGCAAGUGGUGCUGUGGAAACUGGACAGCGCCCUGCUGAAGAAUGAACCUGGACCACUUUCUUCCACCAUACACAAAAAUAAACUCAAAAUGGAUGAAAGACCUCAAUGUAAGACAGGAAGCCAUCAAAAUCCUAGAGGAGAAAACAGGCAAAAACCUCUGACAUUGGCUGCAGCAACUUCCUACUCAACAUAUCUCCAGAGGCAAGGAAAACAAAAGCAAAAAUGAACUACUGGGACCUCAUCAAAAUAAAAAGCUUCUGCACAGCAAAGUAAUCAAUCAGCAAAACCAAAAGGCAACGGAUGGAUUGGGAGAAGAUAUUUGCAAAUGACAUAUCAGAUAAAGGGUUAGAGGCAUCACAAUCCCAGACUUCAAGCUAUACUACAAAGCUGUAAUCAUCAAGACAGUAUGGUACUGGCACAAGAACAGAUACUCAGAUCAAUGGAAUAGAAUAGAGAACCCAGAAAUGGACCCACAAACGUAUGGCCAACUCAUCUUUGACAAAGCAGGAAAGAAUAUCCAAUAGAAUAAAGACAGUCUCUUCAGCAAGUGGUGCUGGGAAAACUGGAUAGCACCAUGCAGAAGAAUGAACCUGGACCACUUUCUUCCACCAUACACAAAAAUAAACUCAAAAUGGAUGAAAGACCUCAAUGUAAGACAGGAAGCCAUCAAAAUCCUCAAGGAGAAAGCAGGCAAAAACCUCUUUGAUCUUGGCCACAGAAACUUCUUACUCAACACAUCUCUGGAGACAAGGGAAACAAAAGCAAAAAUGAACUACUGGGACCUCAUCAAAUAAAAAGCUUCUGCACAGCAUAGGAAACAAUCAGCAAAACUAAAAGGCAACCGACAGAAUGGGAGAAGAUAUUUGUAAAUGACAUAUCAGAUAAAGGGAUAGUAUCCAAAAUUUAUAAAGAACUUAUCAAAUUCAACACCCAAAAAACAAAUAAUCCAGUGAAGAAAUGGGCAAAAGAGAUGAAUAGACACUUCUCCAAAGAAGACAUCCAGAUGGACAACCGACACAUGAAAAAAUGCUCAACAUCACUCAUCAUCAGAGAAAUACAAAUCAAAACCACCAUGAGAUACCACCUUACACCUGUCAGAAUGGCCAACAUUGACAACUCAGGCAAUAACAGGUGUUGGUGAGGAUGCAGAGAAAGAGGAUCUCUUUUGCAUUUUUGGUGGGAAUGCAAGCUGGUGCAGCCACUCUGGAAAACAGUAUGGAGGUUCCUCAGAAAACUAAAAAUAGAACUACCCUAUGACCCAGCAAUUGCACUAGUAGGCAUUUAUCCAAGGGAUACAGGUGUGCUGUUUCAAAGGGACACAUGCACCCCCAUGUUUAUAGCAGCACUAUCAACAAUAGCCAAAGUAUGGGAAGAGCCCAAAUGUCCAGCAAUGGAUGAAUGGAUAAAGAAAAUGUGGUAUAUAUAUAUACAAUGGAGUAUUACUCAGCAAUCAAAAAGAAUGAAAUCUUGCCAUUUGCAAUGACGUGGAUGGAACUGGAGGGUAUCAUGCUAAGUGAAAUUAGUCAGAGAAAGACAAAAAUCAUAUGACUUCACUCAUGUGAGGAGUUUAAGAGACAAAACAGAUGAACGUGAGGGAAGGGAAACAAAAAUAAUAUAAAAACAGGAAGGGGGACAAAACAGAAAAGACUCAUCAAUAUGGAGAAGAAACUGAGGGUUGCUGGAGGGCUUGUGGGAGGGGGGAUGGGAUAAAUGGGUAAGGGGCAUUAAGAAAUCUACUCCUGAAAUCAUUGUUUCACAAUAUGCUAACUAAUUUGGAUUUAAUUUUAAAAAAUAAUAAAGAAAGAAAAUAAAUGCUCUUGAUUCAAAAACUGUCUUCUUGGCAUGAGCACAAUAAAGUUUAUUAAUCAUUACUUCAGUGAUUCAUUGGUUUUACUUUGGC